AUCAACUGGGGAUCUUGUUAAAAUGCAGAUUCUGAUUGAGUAAAUCUGGGGCGGAGCUGAGAUACUGCAUUUCUAACAAGUUCCCAGGUAAUG
rnacentral:miRNA from 1 species